rnacentral:SRP_RNA from 1 species
GCUGGGCACAGUGGUGUGUGCCUGUAGUCCCAGCUACUUAGGAGGCUGAAGCGGGAGAAUCAAUUGAGCCCAGGAGUUUGAGACUGCAGUGAGCCAUGAUCAUGCCACUUUACUCCAACCUGGGCAACAGAGUGAGACCCUGUCUCAA